rnacentral:pre_miRNA from 1 species
GCCGGCCAUUCUUCUGCCGAGAUGAAGUCGGAGAGUUCGCUCUUGCACCACGCUUGGACGAUCUUGGCCUUGUGAGCGGGCGCCGAAUCUUGCUGGAAUGUCCAGGGGCG